rfam:Rhizobium sp. MH17 scaffold9, whole genome shotgun sequence.
CUUCCUCGAUCUGCUGCGGGCAGAUGAAGUGGAUAUGGCUGUCCAUGCCGCCGGCGGUCAGGAUCUUGCCUUCGCCCGCGAUCGCCUCCGUGCCGGGGCCGACGAUGAUAUCGACAUUGGGCUGGGUAUCGGGAUUGCCGGCCUUGCCGAUGGCGACGAUCAGCCCGUCCUUCAAGCCGACAUCGGCCUUGACGAUGCCCCAGUGAUCGACGAUCAGCGCAUUGGUGAUCACCGUAUCCACCGCACCCUCGGCCCGCGUCACCUGGCUCUGGCCCAUGCCAUCGCGAAUG